UAAUUUGUAAAAAUCCACUAAAACAGAAAUCUAAAAUGGGAGUGUUUUCAAAUGUUCUUCAUUUUUUGGUUGUAUUAGCCAGGCCUAGGAUUCCGAAAGCAUUCAAACCCAGGAAACACAGGAAUGAUAAAACAAUUUGGAGGAGUAAUUUGAACGCUAGAAACCAGGAUGCUGGGAUACGAAGCAGGAGUAACAAAUUCUUCUCAUGUGUCCGGACUAAUCAGUGAUCAUUGAAUCCACCAGCAUUCCAGACAUCAAAUAUUUAAACUUUAAUCGGAUAAAAUAUAACAAAGAUAUAUAGAUAUUUAAUUUAUUUAUAUCAAUAUUCAUAUUUAUCAAUGUCUCUUACAAUUGCUAACUAUUACAUAUCAUGUCAUGUGAGAUGAGAUAAUCGUAUGAAAUAAAAUUACCAAUAAAUCAUUAUUGAAUGCGAA